UGUCACCCGUCCAGGAAGAUACAUGAUCCACAACAUGAAGGUAAGAUUUUAGGCUUCUAUUUUCUUUGCAAUAGUUUCUUAACACUGGCAUUUCAUGUGGGUUCUAGUUCAACUAGGAGUAAAUACAGUGACUUCUUACUUCUUGAAAAUCGUGCUCUUUCUGUGGUGAAGUCUGAAUGACAACGUGGAAGGAGAAACCAUUGAUUGAGGUGAGAGAGAAGGUGGAGGACGAGAUCAGAGGAGUGUGGAGAACGGGAUGAGUUUAGCUUUGUGCAGAAUGUGUAGGAGGCAGUGAUGACAUGAGUCUGCAGUGUGGAGGGAGGAGUACUGUGGCAUGACCUGGAUCUUGGGGAAAUGGGAAAAUGAUCAGGACACUCACUGAGCCUACCCAGAUGUUGCCAGGAAAAUAUGUGUUAUACAAGACGUUGAAAGUUUGUGUAGAGGGUUAAGUGAAGAGAGCCAUUAAUGCCAGUGGAGAAUGAGUGGAAUGAAUUUGAUGUAAAAUGUAGGUAAUGAAUUCUGUACAUUCUUCCUAGACUGUGAAGAUCAAGUGGUGCUAUAUGUUUGGGGAGCCAGGGUGGCUUCCUGGCACAUAGUAGGCCCUCAAAUGGGGGGACUAUUACAGUGAAUGCAGAAUUGGUGGAGCUGAGAAGAGGUGAGGGCUGUCGAGCUCUUAAAAUGGUCAAAUAGAAGAUAAGGUGGCACUUAGAUGGCAAAUGAGUGUGGAUUAAAUGCCUGUCUGAUGCGUCUAGAACCGUGCGCUGCAUUCUAGGUGCUCUACACGUGUUCCCACCUGUGAGCUGGGUGCUUGAUGCACGUUGUUCACCUUUACAGGAGGUGGUAACAUCCUCAUCUUGGGGAUGAAAAGGCUUGGUUUUCAGGAAGUUUGAAGUAUGCAGAUCCUCUGGAGACUACGUUGCCAAGCUAAUUUACAGCAGAUUUCUGAGGACAUAGAUAAUUUCCUGAAGAAAAAUGCAGAAGUUGUAGGAAAAAUAUCCAUUUUUGAACAGAAGUUCAAUAAAACAAUGGAAUGUCUUCAAGACCUGGAGAGAGAACAUAAGAUGCUUUUGGAUGCUUCACUUAAAUUUAAGCGUCACAAUGAAACAUUUGAGGAAACUAAUAAAAUUGCGGAUGACAUCAUGCAAAUAUGUGCCAGGGUUAAAUUGGAGAGACAUCAGAACGCCAAGAAUGCCAACUUGUCAGGAGAUAUAACGGACUAUGUAAAGGAGUUAAACCUGAGAGCCUGGAGAUCCAGUAAAUGUUGCCUGGAAGGAAUUAAAAAUAAAGUGGAAAAGAACUGUGAAGAACUGCAAUGUAGCAAAGCAGAGAAGGAGGCUAAAACCAAAAUGCUGCAGAUGGAAGUGGACAACCGUUGCAAAUUGUUUCAACAAAGAGCAGCUACAGUAGCAGAGAAGCUGAAAAUGGAAAACAUAAAGAGGGAACAGUAUGAACGGAACCUGUCUCAGGUAGAGAAAGAACUGAAACAAACUACUGAAGAAAUGGAGUCAUACAAGGAAGCGAAUCUGACCCACAGGGAAGAAAUUGAAAGCAUGAAAGAGCAGCAGCAACUGGUGGAGCUCCACCGCAGACACCAGAUUGCCACUAGUGAAAUGGCAGCUCACCACUACUGGCUCAAGACCCAGGUUCUGGCGAGGGAGAGGGUGGAGCAGGCCAGGGAGGCUGCCCGCUUGAGGCACAGACUGGAAAUGAUGCAGGAAGUGGAAUAUGGGGCAGAGAAACCUGCACCGAGGAAAUCUGACACGCAGAGCCCUCUACACACAGCAGAUUCAGGACCUCAGUCUGUGGCCAGGGGGAGCAGCAGCAGGAUCCCUUCCACAAAUGCACAGAAGGAAAAGUUGGCUGCACUUAGUGGGAGGAAGAUUUUGGCACUGGCGUUGCUGACGAAGCCGGGUGGAGGGAAAGGUGUCAACGUCUGUCACCUGCCUCAUGGAGCUCAGCUUUCAUUGGUGUUUUUGUCCAUCAUGACAACCGUUAUGAAAUUUGAAGAGGAUCCUGAGCCCAGAUACCAUUGCAUGGGCUCUAGUAUUGGAAAUGGGGUCAGACUUCCAUGUUGUUCUCAUUUUGUUCCCUGUCGGAUGCUCCCUUGUCCCCUCAUAUCCUUCCCGGGGUUUUCCCUCAUAAACCUUUCCAGUUCCCUCUGUCUGGCUCAGUGUCUGCUUCCUGGAGGACCUGCUGACCCUGUGGGGUGCACAUAGGUGGUUUCUGCACAUGAAGUUUGGGCAGACUCUAAGGUGGUACAGGCCUAAGCAGGGUCACUUGUGAGGUGGCCUGGAGUGAGGGUGACCCAAGCGGUCUGCAGGGUUGGUGGGAACACCCUGUGUCAAGACAUGGGUUGGGGUGGUGCUGGUUCAUUCUAGAAAUAUUCACGGAGCAUUUGCUGCCUGUCUCAGGUGCCUUGUGAUCAGAUGGACAGGUUCUGACUGCAUGAGCUGGUGUCUUCUCACAAUGGGGCAAAGAUGGAAGACCAGCAGGGGCUGGGCUGGAGGCGCCAGUGAGGAACCUCCAAUAAUUCGGACUGUGUCAGGGGCUUUUGCCAACCGAGCCUGCUGCCCCCCAAAAGCACCAAGUCCAGCCAGGCUCCAAGGAAGCAGAGCUGGGAACAGAGAUUUUUCCAGAAGUCCUGAGAGCUCCAGAAUCCUUCUGUAAUUUUGCUCUGUGGUAUGGGACAGAGUAAAAAGUCAAGGAAUAUCAAAGCACCUGACAUGCACAAUAUGCCCUUCUUGAGACAGUGACAGUUCAUCUCAUUGCCAUAUGGAACCAGCCCUGACCAACUCAUCACAACUAGACACAUCAGGAUGGAGCAGGGAGAUGGGGAGACCCGAUUCGCAGUCCAAGGUGAGCCAGGACCCAGACACUCAGCCUCAGAGAGAUCCUUGCGGGACAUGGAGUCAUCAGUCCUGCAGUUCACUAUGGGACAUUUCUCUGAUUCAGGAUUGGAACUCUUAUCACCUACUUCUAGGGUCCUGGUUGAGGGAAAAGACCAAUCUUAGUGCCGGCCACAUGCACUGAACCAAAGAUGAUCUGAAAGUCUCCAUAGUCAGGUGUUACCUCCUACAAACAGAUGACAAGUAGAAAAGGAGAAAACCAUCUAGCUUGGUGUUCCCCAACACAAGGUUGAGUUUAUAUAAAAUGGAGGUGGAAAAGGGCAAUGACCUCAAAGCUAGACCUGCUGUGUUGCUCUCAGACUGCUUCAUUCAUGAUUCUGAUUCAAAGGAUGUCACUUGAUACUUGAUUUAAUAUGGAGGAUGGAUAAAAUGGAAAGAAUUCCAGGGAACAGGGACAAAAACACUUAGGAGAGAAAGAAAGUUGAUGCAUUUGCUUUUGGCCACCCAGGAAAUGCCUCAGCAAGUGCUUUCUGAGUGGCUGGAAUGCAGUGGGUGCAGUGCCAGGUGCUGUGGACACAAAGGGGAGCAGGGUGCUGUCCCCACCCUAAAGGAGCUCACAGCUUUAUGCAGAGGAGCAGCAGUGAGGACAUGGCUGCCCUCUGCCGUGGAUGUGGGAAGAAAUAACAGAGGACCUGAGUGUUGAGGGAAGGUAAAGAAGGAUUCUGCUGUGGAAUAAGGAUGAGUAAAUCUGCGGCCCCUGACUUCCUCUGAGAACAGUAAGAAACACAGGGCAGGAUGGGAAACGUGGCUAAAUGCAUCAAAUUGGAAGUAAUGGAUCAAAUUCUAUGGCUGUAAAGACACAUGAGGCAAAGAGGAAGCAGGAGGCCUAAGUCAGCCUGGUGUUUGGGGCCAAUUUCCACUAGUUUCAUCAAUGACUCCCAUAAGAAACCAAUGAGAUACAAGGAACCUGAGCACCUUCCAAACACAUGCACAGGUAUAGAAGGAAACUGAGCAGAGUUCAGGAUCUGAUAAAACAAAGACCCCCACUGUAGUCUACUGGCUUUGGGUGGAAUCCAGAAGAGCUGUGCACUAGGAGUGAAGGUGAAUGGGAAACAUAGCGGCCUUUGUUGAACUGAGUCAGUGGUGAGUGAUCUCAUUGCCAACUGGGUUAAAUACACCUAGUGCUGCCAGCGACCCUGACAACCUGCUGGAAGGUUGCCCUCCACCUCCAUGGUCUCUGCAGCAGGAGAACAUCAUACUAGGUCUUAAUUUUUGUCUAAAUAUUUUUACCCAGUUUCUUACAUUUAAAAAAAAUGACUACAUAUAUUAGAGGAGAACACAAUAGGAUGGGAUAGAAACCUAAACGAUUAUAUAGAUGAAUCCAGAUUGAAGUUAAACUACGUUAGUGUCACUACCUGGUCCAGCCCCAAGUAAAUUACAAAGAAGAGUGCAUGAAGGGAGAGAAGCAAUAUAGGUUACAGAAAUCAAGGCAGGGUUGACAAGCACAAUUCUCUACUGAAUGAAUUAGCCACAAAUACUGCAAAAAGUAUUCUAAAAAAACCCUCAAUUGUCUACAUAGACCCCCCCACACAUCGUUCACACCACAAACAGUAUUGGUAUCAAUGAGCUCAUGAACAUCUUACU